GGCUCGAUGGCGGACGGUCUGCAUCUGCCCUUCAUACAUAGACUGCCAUUAUGAAUAUAUCGCAGAACGUCCCCGUUCGACUCGGGGUCGAGCCA